UACGAAGGGUGCAAGCGUUACUCGGAAUUACUGGGCGUAAAGCGUGCGUAGGCGGUUGGUUAAGUCUGCUGUGAAAGCCCUGGGCUCAACCUGGGAACUGCAGUGGAUACUGGCCAGCUAGAGUGUGUCAGAGGAUGGUGGAAUUCCCGGUGUAGCGGUGAAAUGCGUAGAGAUCGGGAGGAACACCGAUGGCGGCAGGAGGCAGCUCUCGUGACGUACUGGACGCUGAGACGCGAAAGCGUGGGGAA
rnacentral:rRNA from 1 species